rnacentral:rRNA from 1 species
AUGCUUUUCCUGCUGUGGCGUGAUGGGCUGGUGAACCGUAGCUGUGUGUGGCUUGGCUUUUGAAUCGGCUUUGCUGUUGCGAAGUAGAGUGGCGGCUUCGGCUGUCGAGUGUCGAUCCAUUUUGGGAACGUUUGUGUGCGCUUUCGAGUGUGCAUCUCAAUUGGACC